AUUGAACGCUGGCGGCAGGCCUAACACAUGCAAGUCGAGCGGAUGACGGGAGCUUGCUCCUUGAUUCAGCGGCGGACGGGUGAGUAAUGCCUAGGAAUCUGCCUGGUAGUGGGGGACAACGUUUCGAAAGGAACGCUAAUACCGCAUACGUUCUACGGGAGAAAGCAGGGGACCUUCGGGCCUUGCGCUAUCAGAUGAGCCUAGGUCGGAUUAGCUAGUUGGUGGGGUAAUGGCUCACCAAGGCGACGAUCCGUAACUGGUCUGAGAGGAUGAUCAGUCACACUGGAACUGAGACACGGUCCAGACUCCUACGGGAGGCAGCAGUGGGGAAUAUCGGACAAUGGGCGAAAGCCUGAUCCAGCCAUGCCGCGUGUGUGAAGAAGGUCUUCGGAUUGUAAAGCACUUUAAGUUGGGAGGAAGGGCAGUAAGUUAAUACCUUGCUGUUUUGACGUUACCGACAGAAUAAGCACCGGCUAACUCUGUGCCAGCAGCCGCUGUAA
rnacentral:rRNA from 1 species